GGGGAAUAUUGCACAAUGGGCGCAAGCCUGAUGCUGCGACGCCGCGUGGGGGAUGACGGCCUUCGGGUUGUAAACCUCUUUCAGUAGGGACGAAGGGUGACCGACGGUACCUACAGAAGAAGCACCGGCCAACUACGUGCCAGCAGCCGCGGUAAUACGUAGGGUGCAAGCGUUGUCCGGAAUUACUGGGCGUAAAGAGCUCGUAGGUGGUUUGUCGCGUUGUUCGUGAAAACUCACAGCUUAACUGUGGGCGUGCGGGCGAUACGGGCAGACUAGAGUACUGCAGGGGAGACUGGAAUUCCUGGUGUAGCGGUGGAAUGCGCAGAUAUCAGGAGGAACACCGGUGGCGAAGGCGGGUCUCUGGGCAGUAACUGACGCUGAGGAGCGAAAGCGUGGGGAGCGAAC
rnacentral:rRNA from 1 species